rnacentral:rRNA from 1 species
CCCUUAGAUGUUCUGGGCUGCACGCGCGCUACACUGACAUACUCAGCAAGUUUCCUUUCCCGAAAGGGUUGGGUAAUCUUGUUAGUGUAUGUCGUGAUGGGGAUAGAAUAUUGUAAUUAUUGCUCUUUAACGAGGAAUUCCUAGUAAGCGCAAGUCAACAGCUUGCGCUGAUUACGUCCCUGCCCUUUGUACACACCGCCCGUCGCACCUACCGAUUGAAUGGUCCGGUGAAAUCUCGGGACGGCGGCUUGGUCGCUUGCGUCCGACUGCUGAAACUUGAUUAAACCAUAUCAUUUAGAGGAAGGUGAAGUCGUAACA